rnacentral:siRNA from 1 species
GAAAUAGGGUUAGAACUCUCCGGA